GAUGAACGCUGGCGGCGUGCCUAAUACAUGCAAGUCGAGCGAACAGACGAGGAGCUUGCUCCUCUGACGUUAGCGGCGGACGGGUGAGUAACACGUGGAUAACCUACCUAUAAGACUGGGAUAACUUCGGGAAACCGGAUCUAAUACCGGAUAAUAUAUUGAACCGCAUGGUUCAAUAGUGAAAGACGGUUUUGCUGUCACUUAUAGAUGGAUCCUCGCCGCAUUAGCUAGUUGGUAAGGUAACGGCUUACCAAGGCAACGAUGCGUAGCCGACCUGAGAGGGUGAUCGGCCACACUGGAACUGAGACACGGUCCAGACUCCUACGGGAGGCAGCAGUAGGGAAUCUUCCGCAAUGGGCGAAAGCCUGACGGAGCAACGCCGCGUGAGUGAUGAAGGUCUUCGGAUCGUAAAACUCUGUUAUUAGGGAAGAACAAAUGUGUAAGUAACUAUGCACGUCUUGACGGUACCUAAUCAGAAAGCCACGGCUAACUACGUG
rnacentral:rRNA from 1 species